CAAAUACCUUUUGGAAUAUGCAAAUGAGCUUGCUUGCUCUGUGUGUGUGUGUGUGUGUGUGUGUGUGAACUGCUCUUCAUCAAUCUUUUGUUUCUGUGGUCCAAUUUCUACGUUUUAGGUUGUAACCUUUCAGGAAUAUGUAUGGAACGUUUACCUAGGAAUGUGGAGUGCAACAUUCCACCUACUUCAUUUUUGAACCUCUGUUUUACAUAAAGGUAGCUCAGGAUUGCGUAUCUAUCAUAUGCUGGGACUUGAAGCAUCAAAAUUUAUGUGGUUGAGAAAUUGGUCUGAAUAGGUAGUGUUCAUACAGACAGCAGCUUUGGUUAUCACUGCAUCAGGGGUUGGCAUAAGGUUAAACUUUCCCUUUCAAUGUGAUCUGCAGUGAGCUCUGAGUCUGUAUUGGAGCAAGAGAUUGUGUAUAAAUACUGUAGAAAAUUCAGGCUCUGUCUCGGGUCUGUGUUUCAAACACAAGUUAAAUGCAUUUAAAUUGUUCCUCUUCUUCUGGCAUCCAUGCUGAGGGGUCAACUUGUUGUUCUUUGUGUCUUGAUAAAUAUUUAGGACAUGGACAGCAACAGCAGCAACAGAAGAACAGUGGCUUGGCGUUCAGAUCUUGGGCCAAGAAAAGUUUUGAGCCUAUAUGAAUGUCUAAAUUACUGAGCUAUUGAGUAUGUUUCUGCCUAGGAAUCCCAAGAUGUGUUCAGGCUUUGGGAUACUGUGCAGUUGGGUGCUGCCUGUCAGCUGGAGGUACAAGGACUGAUCCUGAACUGAUAAGGUUGGCUCUAAAUGGUGACUUUGACAGCAUGGUCUAGGCUAUGUUAGCUGUGUCGUACCAGAUUGAAAAGUUGAGACUUGGAGGAGCAAGUGAUAAUUACAUCCUUUCUG